rnacentral:misc_RNA from 1 species
UCUCCGUAGGUGAACCUGCGGAAGGAUCAUUACUGAGUGAGGGCCCCUCGGGGUCCAACCUCCCACCCGUGUUUAACGAACCUUGUUGCUUCGGCGGGCCCGCCUCACGGCCGCCGGGGGGCAUCCGCCCCCGGGCCCGCGCCCGCCGAAGCCACCUGUGAACGCUGUCUGAAGUAUGCAGUCUGAGACAAUUAUUAAAUUAAUUAAAACUUUCAACAACGGAUCUCUUGGUUCCG